UCGAGGAUAGCUCAAUGGUGGAGCAUUCGGCUGUUAACCGAAGGGUUGGGGGUUCGAGUCCCCCUCCUCGAGCAA
rnacentral:tRNA from 2 species